rnacentral:rRNA from 1 species
AUUGAACGCUGGCGGCAUGCCUUACACAUGCAAGUCGAACGGCAGCACGGGGGCAACCCUGGUGGCGAGUGGCGAACGGGUGAGUAACAUAUCGGAACAUACCCUAGAGUGGGGGAUAACGUAGCGAAAGUUACGCUAAUACCGCAUACGAUCUAAGGAUGAAAGUGGGGGAUCUUCGGACCUCAUGCUCAUGGAGUGGCCGAUAUCUGAUUAGCUAGUUGGUGAGGUAAAGGCUCACCAAGGCGACGAUCAGUAGCUGGUUUGAGAGAACGGACCAGCCACACUGGAACUGAGACACGGUCCAGACUCCUACGGGAGGCAGCAGUGGGGAAUUUGGACAAUAGGGCAACCCUGAUCCAGCAAUG